UAAAUCAAACCGUAGUUAUUCCAUUCAUUUUAAAUUAUUAAUUUGCUAUUAUAUACAAUUUUCCAUUUCUUAAUUACAAUUUCAUUAAACCAAGACCAUUCCCAAUACGAAAACUCAUCCAACAAAACAAUAUUAGUCCCAGUAAACCGACCCCAAGCAUUCUUCCUCUUCUUCCUCGAGCAGUCCAGCGAAGAAACGGGAAACCCAGGAAUUCGCCCAGCCCAGCGAACCAAAAUCGCGACCUGAGUCCAGCUCACGCGUCCCUCUCAUCUCUCUUAUCGUACGAGAACAGCACAGGACACGGCCAGAUGUCAAAAUCUCGAUGAUCGAUCGUCCUUCUUGAGAACUCGAACAACUCUCUUCAUCCAUCCGUGUCCCCAUGGACUCUACCUCCGCAUUUCCAAAGGGCCAUGAAGGCCCCAGAACCUCAUGUUCCUCGAGUCGAGUCUCGAAAUUGACGUACAGGUUUCGAAGUUGAAGGAUUCGAAGCGAAUUGAAGAGAGUCGAAGAGAUUGGGCUAAAAUGCUCAAAUGCAUAUUUCUUAAGAAUUUGUAUUUUGUUAUUUAUAUGCCUAAAUCUUGUAAACUUCCCUUAUUAUUAUUUUGCUAGAUCUAGGACAAGUGAAAAUUUUUGGGUCUUAGUCUCAAAGAAAUAAUUAUUAUGUUGAUUAGCUUAGUACAGGUACAAACCAAUUGGGUCUAAGAUCCAAAAACAAAAUGGGUUCAAAUACAGGUCCAGGCGGACGGAAUCCGAAUUUAGACCGA